CCUACGGGCGGCAGCAGUGAGGAAUAUUGGUCAAUGGACGAGAGUCUGAACCAGCCAAGUAGCGUGAAGGAUGACUGCCCUAUGGGUUGUAAACUUCUUUUAUAUGGGAAUAAAAUGUUUCACGUGUGGGAUUUUGUAUGUACCAUAUGAAUAAGGAUCGGCUAACUCCGUGCCAGCAGCCGCGGUAAUACGGAAGAUCCGGGCGUUAUCCGGAUUUAUUGGGUUUAAAGGGAGCGUAGGUGGAUUGUUAAGUCAGUUGUGAAAGUUUGCGGCUCAACCGUAAAAUUGCAGUUGAAACUGGCAGUCUUGAGUACAGUAGAGGUGGGCGGAAUUCGUGGUGUAGCGGUGAAAUGCUUAGAUAUCACGAAGAACUCCGAUUGCGAAGGCAGCUCACUGGACUGCAACUGACACUGAGGCUCGAAAGUGUGGGUAUCGAACAGGAUUAGAUACCCGAGUAGUC
rnacentral:rRNA from 1 species